CACGUAGGGCGCAAGCGUUGUCCGGAAUUAUUGGGCGUAAAGAGCUCGUAGGUGGUUUGCUGCGUCCGCUGUGAAAACCCAAGGCUUAACCUUGGGCUUGCAGUGGAUACGGGCAGACUAGAGGUAGGUAGGGGAGAAUGGAAUUCCCGGUGUAGCGGUGAAAUGCGCAGAUAUCGGGAGGAACACCGGUGGCGAAGGCGGCUUUCUGGUCUGUAACUGACGCUGAGGCGCGAAAGCGUGGGGAGCAAACAGG
rnacentral:rRNA from 1 species